AAUACAUGCAAGUCGAGCGGACCGACGGGAGCUUGCUCCCUUAGGUCAGCGGCGGACGGGUGAGUAACACGUGGGUAACCUGCCUGUAAGACUGGGAUAACUCCGGGAAACCGGGGCUAAUACCGGAUGCUUGAUUGAACCGCAUGGUUCAAUCAUAAAAGGUGGCUUUCAGCUACCACUUACAGAUGGACCCGCGGCGCAUUAGCUAGUUGGUGAGGUAACGGCUCACCAAGGCGACGAUGCGUAGCCGACCUGAGAGGGUGAUCGGCCACACUGGGACUGAGACACGGCCCAGACUCCUACGGGAGGCAGCAGUAGGGAAUCUUCCGCAAUGGACGAAAGUCUGACGGAGCAACGCCGCGUGAGUGAUGAAGGUUUUCGGAUCGUAAAACUCUGUUGUUAGGGAAGAACAAGUACCGUUCGAAUAGGGCGGCACCUUGACGGUACCUAACCAGAAAGCCACGGCUAACUACGUGCCAGCAGCCGCGGUAAUACGUAGGUGGCAAGCGUUGUCCGGAAUUAUUGGGCGUAAAGCGCGCGCAGGCGGUUUCUUAAGUCUGAUGUGAAAGCCCCCGGCUCAACCGGGGAGGGUCAUUGGAAACUGGGGAACUUGAGUG
rnacentral:rRNA from 1 species